UACGUAGGGCGCAAGCGUUAUCCGGAAUUAUUGGGCGUAAAGAGCUCGUAGGCGGUUUGUCGCGUCUGCCGUGAAAGUCCGGGGCUCAACUCCGGAUCUGCGGUGGGUACGGGCAGACUAGAGUGAUGUAGGGGAGACUGGAAUUCCUGGUGUAGCGGUGAAAUGCGCAGAUAUCAGGAGGAACACCGAUGGCGAAGGCAGGUCUCUGGGCAUUAACUGACGCUGAGGAGCGAAAGCAUGGGGAGCAAACAGG
rnacentral:rRNA from 2 species